rnacentral:rRNA from 1 species
AGAGUUUGAUCCUGGCUCAGGAUGAACGCUGGCGGCGUGCUUAACACAUGCAAGUCGAACGAAACACUUCGGACUGAUUCUUCAGAUGAAGUCUUUGGUGAAUGAGUGGCGGACGGCGCAGUAACGCCCGCGGAAACGUGCCUCAUACAGGGGGAUAACAGUUAGAAAUGGCUGCUAAUACUGCAUAAGCGCACGGUACCGCAUGGUACGGUGUGAAAAACUCCGGUGGUAUGAGAUGGACCCGCGUUGGAUUAGCUAGUUGGCAGGGUCACGGCCUACCAAGGCGACGAUCCAUAGCCGGCGUGAGAGGGUGCGACGCCCACAUUGGGACUGAGACACGACCCAGACUCCUACGGGAGGCAGCAGUGGGGAAUAUUGCACAAUGGGCGGAAACCGUGAUGCACGCGACUGCCGCGUGAGCGAUGAAGUAUUUCGGUAUGUAAAGUCUACUAUCAGCAGGGAAGAAAAUGAUCGGUACCCGACUAAGAAGCCCCGGCUAAUUACGUGCCAGCAGCCGCGGUAAUACGUAGUGGGCAAGCGUUAUCCGGAUUUACUGGGUGUAAAGGGAGCGUAGACGGAAUGGCAAGUCUGAUGUGAAAGGCCGGGGCUCAACCCCGGGACUGCAUUGGAAACUGUCAAUCUAGAGUACCGGAGGGGUAAGUGGAAUUCCUAGUGUAGCGGUGAAAUGCGUAGAUAUUAGGAGGAACACCAGUGGCGAAGGCGGCUUACUGGCCGGUAACUGACGUUGAGGCUCGAAAGCGUGGGGAGCAAACAGGAUUAGAUACCCUGGUAGUCCACCCCGUAAAC